ensembl:rRNA 5S_rRNA 5S ribosomal RNA
GUCUACUACCAAGCUCCCUGAACAUGCUCGAUUCUGUCUGAUCGCGGAAGCUAAGCAGCAUGGGGCCUGGUUAGUACUUGGAUGGGAGACCACCUAGGAAGACCAGGUGCUGUAGGCA